AAAAAUGACUGCGUUGCAAGAAGCAGAAAUCUGGCAAUGGGCGUGGCCUGAGUUCUACCAAUCAGCGAACACCUUCGUCAUAUGAGUUCUGAUGGAACCAUUGAACAGACCCUGCCUGGGAGUAGGCGCUAAAGUGGUUAUAGGAACUGUGGUUCAUGGUUCCAAGUUCUAAUACUGUCCGAAUGUGUGAAAAAAGGGCCUAGGUCCUGAAAAAGUUACAGGAACUGCAAAAAG